AACAAACACUUCUGUUUCUGAACCAGAGUGGGUUCUCAGAGUCUUGGCUUUCUUUCUGCAACCUGUCUGCCUCCUAAGCAGCUGAGAUUGUUUCCCUACUACAGAUGAGUGAUAAGCUGACUGCGCCCUCACGGAUAAUUCUAUCACUCCUGGGACCAUCGCAUAGAGGGUGCUUGAGACACGCUGCACUGGACGAUGCACACACCCCAUCUCUCCAACAUGACUGGCCACCAGGAUGCAUCACAGUCCUGACCCCAACGCAGGAGAUUGAAAGUCACCAAGGACUGAGACAUGCUGUCGAGCCACAAUCAGAAGAGAAACUGGAGUUGAAGAAGAGCCAGGUCUGGCCACACAGAGAAGUGAAAACCUCCAUUUAAUGGUCAGAGGCAAACUCCAAAGUCAGGCAUCAGAGAAGUGUUCCGUUUUGGUCACUAUUAUUUCUUAAGAGUCUUUCUGAACACUCCAGAACUAAAGGACUAGAGGUCCAGGGCCCUUGCUCUCAGUGUCUGAUCAGCUGCUGUCAUCUGCCUCGAAAGCUGCCCCAUGGUUUUUUCCAUCCUUG
rnacentral:lncRNA from 1 species